GUACUUACCUGGCAGAGAAAAUACCAUGAUCAGAAGGGUGGUUUUCCCAAGACGAGGCUCAUUCAUUGCACUCGGGAUAGCUAAGCCCUGCACGAAAUAUCUCUGAAUUUUGGAAACUUCAUUGUGUAAUUUGUGAUAGUGUAGGCCUGCAUUUGUGUGGUCUUCUU
ensembl:snRNA U1 U1 spliceosomal RNA